UACGAAGGGGGCUAGCGUUGCUCGGAAUCACUGGGCGUAAAGGGUGCGUAGGCGGGUCUUUAAGUCAGGGGUGAAAUCCUGGAGCUCAACUCCAGAACUGCCUUUGAUACUGAAGAUCUUGAGUUCGGGGAGAGGUGAGUGGAACUGCGAGUGUAGAGGUGAAAUUCGUAGAUAUUCGGAAGAACACCAGUGGCGAAGGCGGCUCACUGGUCCGGUACUGACGCUGAUGUGCGAAAGCGUGGGGAGCGAACAGG
rnacentral:rRNA from 1 species